GAUGAACGCUGGCGGCGUGCCUAACACAUGCAAGUCGAGCGAGAAGCUUCUGACGGAUCCUUCGGGUGACGGAUGAAGUGGAAAGCGGCGGACGGGUGAGUAACGCGUGGGUAACCUGCCCUGUACAGAGGAAUAGCCAUUGGAAACGAUGAUUAAUGCCUCAUAAGACUACAGCACCGCAUGGUGCAGUAGUAAAAACUCCGGUGGUACAGGAUGGACCCGCGUUAGAUUAGCUAGUUGGUGAGGUAAUGGCUCACCAAGGCGACGAUCUAUAGCCGACCUGAGAGGGUGAUCGGCCACACUGGAACUGAGACACGGUCCAGACUCCUACGGGAGGCAGCAGUGGGGAAUUUUCCGCAAUGGGCGAAAGCCUGACGGAGCAAGACCGCGUGGGGAGGAAGGUUUUGGAUCGUAAACCCCUUUUGUCAAGGAGAAGCUCUGACGGUACUUGACGAAUAAGCCUCGGCUAACUCCGUGCCAGCAGCCGCGGUAAU
rnacentral:rRNA from 1 species